rnacentral:rRNA from 1 species
UACGGAGGGUGCAAGCGUUAAUCGGAAUUACUGGGCGUAAAGCGCGCGUAGGCGGUUUUUUAAGUCGGAUGUGAAAGCCCCGGGCUCAACCUGGGAACUGCACCCGAUACUGGAAGACUAGAAUGCGGGAGAGGGAGGUAGAAUUCCAUGUGUAGCAGUGAAAUGCGUAGAUAUAUGGAGGAAUACCAGUGGCGAAGGCGGCCUCCUGGCUCGACAUUGACGCUGAGGUGCGAAAGCGCGGGGAGCAAACGGC